CGGGAUUGAAUUACAUUUCCGUCACAUAUCGGCUUCCUCUUCAAAAUAGCUCCUCUUCCAUUUUACAAUUCUAGAACUUUCUCACACAGUUCGUCAUUCAUUUGUGAUUUUAGGGUUUGAACAGAGAGACUCCAAAAAUGGGGGACACUUCACCGGCGACUCAAAAUAGCUCGACAAGCAUAACUGACCUUGACAUGGACGCAUUGGUUCACUGUGCAACUUACUUGAAUAUUCAAGACCUGUCAAACAUAGCUAUAUCUUGUAAAUACCUUCAAAGAGCUGCCUAUUCUGACUCUAUUUGGCAAUCCCUUUUCAGACAGCAGUGGUCUCCAAUAGUACCUUCUAGCUUUCCUCAUACAUCAACUGCCAGGGAAGCAUACCUUGCCAGGCGUAGUGAUGUGCUGCAAUUCAAGUUCAUUGACCCUAUUGUUGUAGAGUUUGCUACCGAGGCAAAACCUCAUGAAAAUCUGCAUCUUGACAAAGACAAUAUCAUAUUUUCUCAGGGCUCUUCAGUCCAUAUAGUGAACAUUGACAAUUUUUUGGAUGGAAAUGAUCCAUAUGUCACACUCAGUGAUCACACCGCCAGAAUUACUUCUAUGAGUAGCCAUAAUCCUACUAACUGCAGAUUAAUUCCAUUUGAAGAGACAUGCCUGUAUGGUAUCAAGACACAGAAAAAUGACAAUCUUUUGGUAACCUCAAGCUUUGACCAUUCAAUUCGGCUAUGGUGGAAGGGGCGUUGUCAACGAUGUCUCAGAGGCCAUAAUGGUUCAGUUUCCACACUUUCAGACAAAUUGUUGGGUGAUUGUCCUAGUAAUAUACUUGCAAGCGGUGGUUUGGAUGGAACUGUUCGAUUAUGGUCCCUUGAUUCUAGUGGUAAGCGCGGCCAACAAGCUUUAAAGGCGACACUUUACGGGCAUGAGAAACCUGUAGUGCUGAUGUCAGUUGCUGGGCACAAGACAUCUCUUCUAGUGAGCAUAUCAAGGAACUCCAAGGUGAUGGUUUGGGACACUUCUACUUCAUCAGCUGUUCGCUCUUCAUGCUGUGUGGGAAAGAGCACUGUGCCUGGCGCACCUAAGGCAAUGAAGUGUCAUGAAUCACUGAUCUAUGUUGCGGCUGGUUCCUCGGUUGUUGCAAUUGAUAUAAGAACAAUGCGUCAAGUCUUUAAAGUGAACCAUAAAAAAGAAUUACAUUCAUUUCAAAUGUUGCCAGAGAAAUCAUUGAUCUGUACAGGGUUAGCUCAAAGAGCAAUGCUCUGGGAUGUCAGAAAAGGAUGUGACAUACAGAAGGGAGAAGCAGUAGCGGAGUUAGACGGACAUAAAGGCAAUGUAAAUCUCUUGCACAUGGAUCCCUACAAAAUUGUUAGUGGUGGGCUGGAGGAUUUCGAAGUACAUGUUUGGGAGACGGGGAGUGGUGGACGAACAUGUUCUUUCAUUAGCUGCCCUCGAUGUGAUUCCCCUCCAGGCUUUGGGUGUUCUGCAAUGGCUGUAGAUGGAUGUAGAAUAGUUACAGCGUGUAAUGAUGAAGACCAUAGCGCCUUGUGUUUUCGGGACUUCAAUAAUGCGAUGGUUCCCACCUCUUCUGAUUCAAGCAUCCUCGAAUCAAAAUUUUGGGGUCCUCAAUCACAGAGUGAUACUGAAGAAGAGCCAGAUAAUGAUUCAACAUAGCUGCCCCCCCCAAAAAAAAACUCAAAUUCCAAUACGUCAUUUUGUUCGCACUCUCAAUAAAAUCCACUCUUUGGACUUGCUUUGCUUCAAUUAGAAUUGUCAAUAUGUCGAGGCAAACACCAAUGGAUCAGAGUGUCCUCUGGGGAAGUGGAUGCAAUGUGUACAUAAAAGGGGAAAAGAGGGGAAAGACGGACCUUUUCUUCAAAAUCAGAUUCCUCCAUAGCAAGGAGAGGCUCGUCGCUUUGAGUCUAAGGCCACUGCGCGGGAGCAAAAAUGAUGUUGGAAUAAUCCGAGUAGAGUACAGGUGCUGUAACAUGAACGACGGAUACUGCAAUAUUUUCUACACCGAAGAAGAUUUGUGGGUGAGGGUUUUUGUUCGUCUCCAUUUUUAGUUUUAAUACAAUGUAUACAGUAUUUUGCUUGGCCGAAAAAUGCCAUAUCUGGCGAACUUUCUUCUCUUUUUUGCUAUUAAGUCACAUACAAUGAUACAAAUACAUUAUAUUCUAUAUAAAUUCACUCAAAUACAUUAUAUUUUUGUAUA